UGGGGAAUUUUGGACAAUGGGCGAAAGCCUGAUCCAGCAAUGCCGCGUGUGUGAAGAAGGCCUUCGGGUUGUAAAGCACUUUUGUCCGGAAAGAAAUCCUUGGCUCUAAUACAGUCGGGGGAUGACGGUACCGGAAGAAUAAGCACCGGCUAACUACGUGCCAGCAGCCGCGGUAAUACGUAGGGUGCAAGCGUUAAUCGGAAUUACUGGGCGUAAAGCGUGCGCAGGCGGUUUGCUAAGACCGAUGUGAAAUCCCCGGGCUCAACCUGGGAACUGCAUUGGUGACUGGCAGGCUAGAGUAUGGCAGAGGGGGGUAGAAUUCCACGUGUAGCAGUGAAAUGCGUAGAGAUGUGGAGGAAUACCGAUGGCGAAGGCAGCCCCCUGGGCCAAUACUGACGCUCAUGCACGAAAGCGUGGGGAGCAAACAGGAUUAGAUACCCUGGUAGUCCACGCCCUAAACGAUGUCAACCAGUUGUUGGGGAUUCAUUUCCUUAGUAACGUAGCUAACGCGUGAAGUUGACCGCCUGGGGAGUACGGUCGCAAGAUUAAAACUUAAAUGAAUUGACGGGGUCAUAGCUGUUUCCU
rnacentral:rRNA from 1 species